rnacentral:rRNA from 1 species
AUACGGAGGGUGCGAGCGUUAAUCGGAAUUACUGGGCGUAAAGCGUACGUAGGCGGUUGGUUAAGUUAGAUGUGAAAGCCCCGGGCUUAACCUGGGAACUGCAUUUAAAACUGGCGAACUAGAGUUGAGUAGAGGGGAGUGGAAUUUCAGGUGUAGCGGUGAAAUGCGUAGAGAUCUGAAGGAACACCAGUGGCGAAAGCGACUCCCUGGACUCGAACUGACGCUGAGGUACGAAAGCGUGGGUAGCAAACGGGAUUAGAAACCCCAGUAGUCC